AACACUUGUGUGUGUGUGUGUUUGUCUAAUUUGUAACAAAGCCUUGCAGUCAGGUGCAAACAGUAAAUCCUCUCUUGCAACCAAGAACUCAUUGUGGAACAGGAGAUUUUGGUAUGUGUAAGAAGGGAUAGG